AUACAGCCAGUUUCCAUGAGGCCAUGAGACAGGCAGAAGUGGAGUGGCCAACAACAACUCCUCUUUCCCGCAGCCGCUGGAGCCAUACCUGAAGGCGGCUAUGGGAAGACGGAGCCCAAAGCAGAGACGCGAGCAUCGCUAAGGGACCUGGGAGAGGCGGGGCUUUUCGCCUCUCGGAGGGCCCCGCCCAGAUUACGUCACUUCCGUAAACAAAGGGCGCUUGCCUGGGUUUGUGACCCAGGCAGACGAGCUGGGCUCUUGAUGCAGCCCUGGCGGAGGCUUUGAACGCUCUCUUACUUUUCCUAGCCGAGGAAGGGUAACCACAGCCUUUUCUCCCUCCGGUCUUAUGAAGCUGGUGUUAAUGCAACCAAGAAUUUAAGACAAUGGAAGAGCGAAAAGCAAAGAGGAAGAGUCCCAAGUCUUUCAGUGCCCACUCUACUCAGGUUGUUAAUGCCAAAAAAAAUGCCAUCCCAUCUAGUAAAAGCACAGGGUUUUCAAAUCCCACAUCGCAGUCAGCUUCUCAGAGGCCAAAGUUAAAAAGGGUGAUGAAAGAAAAGAACAAACCUCCCGGAGGAGAAGGGAAGGGGGCCCAGUCCACACCCAUCCAGCACUCCUUCCUCACCGACGUCUCGGAUGUCCAGGAGAUGGAGCGCGGCCUCCUCAGCCUGCUGAACGAUUUCCACUCUGGAAAGCUGCAGGCGUUUGGAAAUGAAUGUUCCAUAGAGCAGAUGGAGCAUGUCCGGGGAAUGCAGGAGAAAUUAGCUCGCUUGAAUUUGGAGCUCUACGGGGAGUUAGAGGAACUUCCUGAGGAUAAGCGGAAAGCAGCCAGUGACGCAAACCUGGACAGGCUUCUGUCGGACGGGGCUGAAAAGCUGACUCAGCGUCUAAAAGUACUUGCCGCUCUUGCAGAAGACCCAGAUUCUGUUUCCAGCACCCACAUGGCGGCCCUCGACCCUCUCUAACUUCAGUUCCGGGGAUCUGAAGCCUUCUUCUUGCCUCUGAGGGCACCAGGCACACAUGUGCUGCACAUGCUUACAUUUGGGCAAAGCACACAUACCCAUAAAAUAAAAAUAAAUAUCUAAAACCUUCUUAAGGGAGCUAGGGAGAUGGCUCAGUUGGUAAAAUUCUUGCUACACCAGUGUGAGGGCCUGAGUUCAGAUCCCAGCACCUGUGUGUAAAGUGCCUAUGAUCUCAGCACUCGAGGAGCAGAGACAAGGAGAUCUCUGAGGAUUACAGGCUGCCCUUUCUUGCUGAUAUUGUGAGCUUCAGGUUUGGUGAGAGAUCCUGUCUCAAAGAAAUGAGGUAGAGAACAGUUAAGGAGGACACCCGACCGUGACUUCUGGCCUCCUUAUGUGCAGGCGCACAGCAAAUGAUGCGCACGCGAACAUUUUUUAGAGAACAAAGGAGAAGAAAAAUCUCUCCCCAGCGUAUUUUAGCUUAAUGUUCACUUUCUACACCUUUUCUUUUUGUCUUUCACUUUUUAAAAAAAUAUAUAAGACAACUGUCUGCCCACACUCUAAAAGGCCAGCCUGGGCUAUAUGAGACCUCUCUCAAAAAAAACAAGUGAACAGCCCUUCAAGCCUGUGCCUUAAGUGUCAUCUCUGCCAUGUAUUAUUUGGUCUCACAAGUAUUCAGUUCAUGUUUUAGGCUCUAUUUGUCUUAAAUAUAAGUUUAAUUUGUAUACCUUUAUAGAGCAUUUGGAAAAAUAAAUUUUAAACCAGGAGGUAUAGUGCAAGGCUAGUACUUGGUAACAGCAGGUAGUCUAGUUACUGUACCCACCUACCAUCCUUUCUUUUUUUAAACUUCUUUGAGGUAUUGGAGAUUAAGCCAAGGGCCUCAUGGAUGCUGGACAAGCACUCCACCACUAAACUACAGCCCCAGCAAACAUCUCUUUACUUUGUGCUUCUUCUAAAAUUAAAGUUAGAAGAAUUGAAUUCUUCUAUACAGAAACUGCACUUGGCAGACGCACAGGACGUCCCCAAUGCGUCCAGCAGCUAAAGCGAUCCGCAGCCUCCGUUCCUUCCCAGCUGAGUCCAGUAGCAAAAUCAUCUUCCACCGCAAACUCCGAGUCAUGCGAAUGCGCGUGCAGUGAUCCUGCUCACGCGCCGCUUUCGUCCACGUGCUCGCUGUAAUCCACCGCUGUCGGGGAGGCCUCAUCAGGAAGUGGGGUACAGAGGUGUGCUGCUGUGCUUGCUUCUGUUGCCUUAAGGGUUAUACUUGAAAUGCUUUGUGCUAAACCUUCGGUGGGGCUGAAGGAUCUGUCCUUGCCGCCACCACGCUGACCCAGUGCCUUUGUGGCGCACAGGUGUCCUGUGGUGGCCCAGCUUCUGUUUACGUCAGACAAUCGGUACACACGCAGGUGUGUUUCCCAAUGGCCAGUGACAAAUGUUGAAUAAGUACUUGUGAGAUUUGCUAUUUUUAAUAAAGUGAUUGUUUUAAAUCGU